UCUUUAUCCUAAAAUCUGAAUUUAUUUCUAGAUAUAGACUUUGAAAAAUAAAAAAAUCAUAACAUUUUUUUGUUUUAUCAUUAAGUAACACUUAUAUAAAAUCUAAAUUAGAAAUCUAAAUACCAAAAAUUGAAUAUUAAAACUGAAAAAAAGAAAAAAAAAUAGAUUUUAUUUAGGAAAUUUAGAAACUAGAAGCCCUAGUUUUCUUCGUCUCUCACAUCUAAUCUCCCUGCCUCCUCCUGCGUCCUCCCUGUCUCUCUCGACUCUCUCUCUCCCCUCUCGACUCCGCCGCCGGCGCCGCUGCCCCGCGCCGGCCCGUCGCCGCCCACCCUUGUCGCUGCGUCACGCCGCUGCCGCCCACCCUCGUCUCCCUCUUAAUCUCCUCUCUCUCUGACUCAAAUGCACGCACACCACACCGCGCCUGAAAUCCUAGAUCUAUAAUCUACAGCCACCUCCCUGCCGAUUCCCGUCGACCGCACGGCGGAAAGGCCGCCGCCUCCGAGCGCAGCCCAAAGCCCCCUCUUCUCUCCAUACUCCGGCGACAACAGCGGCUCCUUGCCGCCGCCGUGCCCUAGCUUCAAUCCGCCGCUGAACUCCCUCUUCCGGCCGCACCACCUGUCCGACCACCACAGCACCAGUCCAGCCGCCUUCGUCGCAGUGCAACACCACCGCGACCCACUCCAGAACCGCUGCCCCCCACCAUCUCCCGGCAUCUACACAAGGCGGCUUCGUGCGCCACCCAUCGUUCCUAUCAUGAACGCCGAGGAAGAGCCACCAGUCGGCGCGAUUUACACCAUACCAGCAGCGCCAAACACCUCCUGCCACCGUCUCCCGCCGCCCAGUCACCUUCGCCCUUUUCCUGUCACCACCGUCAGUUUCCAGACACUGCCGCGCGGCCCCAGCUCCAAUCUCAACCCCGCUGUCUGCCGGAGCGAGCCCUGCCCUCCUCCACUGUUCAGGGAAGUUUAUUUCUUCAUUUUUGUGUUGUUCCAAUCAGGACUUGAUUUUUUGCUAAAUUAGGGCUCAAAUCUAGAAAAAGGCUUCCCCAAAUUGAUCUAUAAAAGGAUUUGAACAUAUUGACGCUAUUAAGUCCAGAUUUUUAGAUAUAUUACACUAUUAAAGACUAAGAGAUGAACUAAUUCGAUUCUAUAUGGGAUAAAUGAAAUUUUCUUGCUACAAACACUGGAAAAGUAAUAGUGACAGAUUCUGUAUGUUUAUCAAUGUGGAUUGUUGCUGGUUAAUAGUUUAGAACUAUAAUCAUCUUCCUUAUAGGAGAUUGUAGUGAUUGCUUUUACAGUGUGAAGUUUCUAUUGUGAAGGGGAUAAAAUGUAGUGCAUGUAGCAGUUGAAACAAUUAUAACUGUUAUUGUGCAUGGAUGAACUUCGAGGAAGUGUGAAUAGAGAAACUUUUGUGCUUGUGAACUAAAUGGUUGAGAUUAUUAAGACCUAAAAGUUCAUUACCAAAAAGUAUCUAAUUGUUAUAGUAAUUAGCUUUACGUUUCAUUUAGCAUUGCAGGUUCGGUGGACCUCGGAGGAGAGGAAGUGGUCCUUGUAUUUUACUCUUUUGUAGAAAUAAAAAAGCCUUUGAGUAGUUACUGUAAGCAUACAACCUUAUCAGAAUAUACCCAUCAUUGGGUAUAUUAAAGAAAAACUUGGAGCUGAUGAGAUGCUUUCUUGGGUUCAGCAUCAUAUUAAAAAUGGGUUCGCUGCUCUGGAGAAGCUUUUGGAGAAACAUGCUGGGAAAUAUGCUACAGAAGGUGAAGCUUUCUUGGUUCGUUGCUUCUCUUAUUGACAUUUUUUGCUGGUCAAAUUUAUUCCUGCCAUUCUUGGAAAACGAAGUAUAGUUAUUUGAGUUUUAACUUGAUGUUUCUAUCCUCAGAUCCUAGCUAAAGAGAAGCAAAUAUAAGACAAUACUAAUUUAGGACCGUCAAAGCAAAGACUGUCUGCAUGAUAUUGUAAAAUAUGAUUAGUUUCCUUGAGGAGAACAUUCAUAUAAGAACUGUUAAAUCCAGUUUGGCUCACUUUUAUAGAGUUUGUCUACAUUAUUUCGGUACGUUGAGAAGCAUUAAUUUUUGGUACAAAAAUCUGCAGGCUGAUUUGUAUUUGGCACCACAGAUUGAUGGUGCAGUUAGAAGGUUCAGUGUUGAUAUGAACGAGUUCCCUCUUUUGUCAAAGUUAAAUGAGGCAUACAAAGAACUCCCUGCUUUUAUUUAAGAAGCUAUGUUUUGCAGGUGAACUCGCUCGUGUUGGUGCAGGUUCAUUAUUGUGAUUGAGUUUAUCAUCUUGGCGGAUCAAGUAGAUGGGAGUCGAUGAGCUAUGAGGACUACUACAAACGAGAAGGCUGAAGCAGAGAACGUCGUUUCAAAUGUCUAGCAAGUUGCGCGCAUUUGUAAAAUUUUUUAAUUAAACA